GUGGUCGCUCUUGUGGCGGCCGCCGCUGCCCGCCCCGACCAUGCUCCAGCUCCUGCCCCCACCUACGGUGCCCCGCCCCCACCUCCACCACCACCACCUCCCCCAGUCUAUGGACCUCCAAGCCCCCCACCUGAGGCACCUGCAAAGUACUCCUUCAGCUGGAAGGUGAAGGACGACGCUUCCGGCAACGACUUCGGCCACGACGAGACCCGUGAUGGUCCCCACACGGAGGGCGUCUACUACGUCCUGCUUCCCGACGGUCGAGUGCAGAAGGUUGUUUACACUGUCGACGGUGACGGUGGUUAUGUUCCUGUUGUGACCUACGAGGGCCAGGCCAAGCCCCCGACACCCGUCUACACUCCACCUCCUGUCUACACUCCACCUCCUCCCACCACCCCUGCUCCUGUCUACGCCCCACCUCCAGUGUACGGCUAGACCAAGACCUUGACCCUGUCUCCACCUAUGAUUCUAUCAACAUCCCAGCUGAUGUCUACAACUGGGAUAAACUCCCUAUCACAGUGUGCACUAUCUACAUCUACAUCUCAACUCCUGUGUACGAUUACGCUCCUGAUCUGCAUCUACACCCAAUUUCUCUCCACGCUUAACCCAAGCCCCGACCCCCCAUUCUAAACUCCAGCACCUGUCUAGACCUUAGUACCUGUUUAUUCCCUUGCUUCUGUCUAUUACCGAGCUUCUUUCUGCGACAAAAUCGACAGUAUGCUUCAGUUUCGCUUUCCAACCAAGCAGUUUAUUCAGCAACUGAAACUUACAACUAAGUCAUAACAUUUUUCGAUUCGACUGUGAUUUUAUUUAUUGAUAAUAAUAUUAUUAAAUAAAGCAAAAAUAAAUGCAUAAUAAAAA